CCCGAGAAAAAAGCUGACCGAUCGGCUUCUCGCGUCAAGUUAAAAAGAUUAUCGUUUGAUGAUGAGGAUCGCCAGCUCUUGAUUACUGCGGAACCUCCAGCGCCGGAGCCGGAGGUGAUUCCGGAGAUUAUUGAGGAGAGGGAUGUUGAUCGCAAUUUCGAUCGUCAGGUGUCCUUGCCGAGACUGUCCAGUGGGAGUAGCUAUGCGGGUAGCUUGUUCUCGGGGACUACAUUGGACGGGAACUUUUUGAGCUAUGUUAAGGACACUGCGACGACCUUCACGAGGCAGGAAGUGGUGCAGGAGGAGGAAGAGGAGGAGGAAGUGGUGGUGGUAGAGGAGGAGAAGGAGGAGAAGAAUGAUGAGAAGGCGGCGCAGAGGACACGAGAAACUUACCAUUUGCAGCUUGCUUUAGCUAAGAGGCUUAGUUAUCAAUCUGGCCUUGCUAGUGAGUUUGUGCUUUUACAGGAGGGUGGGCCUGAGUCCUUCGAUGCAGAAACCGUAUCUUAUCGCCUCUGGGUUAGUGGAUGCUUAUCAUACAGCGACAGAAUAUCGGAUGGAUUCUAUAAUAUUCUUGGGAUGAAUCCGUAUCUGUGGGUUAUGUGCAAUGAUGAAGAGGAAGGAAGACGAUUGCCCCCUUUAAUGUCCCUCAGAGAAAUUGACACCAGUGAGACAUCAAUGGAGGUGGUUCUCGUUGAUGGGCGUGGCGACUCACGCCUUAAGGAGUUAGAGGAUAAGGCGCAUGAGAUCUAUUGUGCUUCAGAAAAUACGUUGGUGUUAGUGGAGAAACUGGGAAAACUGGUUGCUAUUUGCAUGGGGGGAACUUUCCCGGUGGAGCAAGGUGAUCUUCAUAAACGCUGGAA
rnacentral:misc_RNA from 1 species